rnacentral:rRNA from 1 species
AACGCGAAGAACCUUACCAGCUUUUGACAUGUCCUGGACGGAUUGCAGAGAUGCGAUCUUCCCUUCGGGGCCGGGAACACAGGUGCUGCAUGGCUGUCGUCAGCUCGUGUCGUGAGAUGUUGGGUUAAGUCCCGCAACGAGCGCAACCCUCGCCUUUAGUUGCCAUCAUUUAGUUGGGCACUCUAGAGGGACUGCCGGUGAUAAGCCGGAGGAAGGUGGGGAUGACGUCAAGUCCUCAUGGCCCUUACAGGCUGGGCUACACACGUGCUACAAUGGCGGUGACAGAGGGAUGCAAAGGCGCGAGCCUCAGCAAAUCUCCAAAAGCCGUCUCAGUUCGGAUUGUACUCUGCAACUCGAGUACAUGAAGUUGGAAUCGCUAGUAAUCGCGGAUCAGCACGCCGCGGUGAAUACGUUCCCGGGCCUUGUACACACCGCAUAC